UGCUCUGGAGACCUUCCCGGUGUAGCUCCACAGCAACGUGGAAACGUCCGCGCUGACCACUCUGAAAAACACCACUUGUAGUUUAUUUAAACAACGAAGGCAUGUUACAUCGUUCAGUAAUGAAAAAAUAACAUUUCUGGGUGCCCGGUCUCGAAAACUACAGCUCACAUGUUGUGGGAUCAGAUAAAAAGGAGUUGGAACUGGCUUGUUCUGGAAGAGAAGACCACCUUGAAGAUCAGUGUGUAACUGGGCUACCUUCUGGCACCCACUGAGACAACCUCUGCUGUGAUACCUGCUCCUUGCAACUCAUAACGGCUGUGAGAAACCCUCCAGAUGCUUCUGUGUCUCUGUAUAAAGAACUAAACCAGUGCUGCAGGAAUGAUCUGCAGAUGACAUGCUUCAGCACAAGACCUACGUUAACCACGGGCAGCCUCCUGGUGGGAGCUCCAGACUUCAACUUCCAGCA
rnacentral:lncRNA from 1 species